UACGUAGGGUGCGAGCGUUAAUCGGAUUUACUGGGCGUAAAGCGUGCGCAGGCGGCCCGUUAAGACAGGUGUGAAAUCCCUGGGCUCAACCUAGGAAUUGCGCUUGUGACUGGCGGGCUCGAGUACGGUAGAGGGGGGUGGAAUUCCAGGUGUAGCGGUGAAAUGCGUAGAGAUCUGGAGGAACACCGAUGGCGAAGGCAGCCCCCUGGGCCUGUACUGACGCUCAUGCACGAAAGCGUGGGGAGCAAACAGG
rnacentral:rRNA from 1 species